GAUGAACGCUGGCGGCGUGCCUAAUACAUGCAAGUCGAGCGAACAGACGAGGAGCUUGCUCCUCUGACGUUAGCGGCGGACGGGUGAGUAACACGUGGAUAACCUACCUAUAAGACUGGGAUAACUUCGGGAAACCGGAGCUAAUACCGGAUAAUAUAUUGAACCGCAUGGUUCAAUAGUGAAAGACGGUCUUGCUGUCACUUAUAGAUGGAUCCGCGCCGCAUUAGCUAGUUGGUAAGGUAACGGCUUACCAAGGCAACGAUGCGUAGCCGACCUGAGAGGGUGAUCGGCCACACUGUAACUGAGACACGGUCCAGACUCCUACGGGAGGCAGCAGUAGGGAAUCUUCCGCAAUGGGCGAAAGCCUGACGGAGCAACGCCGCGUGAGUGAUGAAGGUCUUCGGAUCGUAAAACUCUGUUAUUAGGGAAGAACAAAUGUGUAAGUAACUAUGCACAUCUUGACGGUACCUAAUCAGAAAGCCACGGCUAACUACGUG
rnacentral:rRNA from 1 species